GGGGAUGUUGCUCAGUGGUAGAGCACUUGCCUAGCAUGUAUGAGGCACUGGGUUCAAUUCUCAGUACCA
rnacentral:tRNA from 1 species